GGCUAUAUACAGGGGGUACCAGUACAGAGUCAGUGUGGAGACUAUAUACAGGGGGUACCAGUACAGAGUCAAUGUGGAGGCUAUAUACAGGGGGUACCGGUACAGAGUCAAUGUGGAGGCUAUAUACAGGGGGGUACCAGUACAGAGUCAAUGUGGAGGCUAUAUACAGGGGGGUACCAGUACAGAGUCAAUGUGGAGACUAUAUACAGGGGGUACCAGUACAGAGUCAAUGUGGAGGCUAUAUACAGGGGGGUACCAGUACAGAGUCAAUGUGGAGGCUAUAUACAGGGGGGUACCGGUACAGAGUCAAUGUGGAGGCUAUAUACAGGGGGUACCAGUACAGAGUCAAUGUGGAGGCUAUAUACAGGGGGUACCAGUACAGAGUCAAUGUGGAGACUAUAUACAGGGGGUACCGGUACAGAGUCAAUGUGGAGGCUAUAUACAGGGGGGUACCGGUACAGAGUCAAUGUGGAGGCUAUAUACAGGGGGUACCAGUACAGAGUCAAUGUGGAGGCUAUAUACAGGGGGUACCGGUACAGAGUCAAUGUGGAGACUAUAUACAGGGGGUACCAGUACAGAGUCAAUGUGGAGGCUAUAUACAGGGGGUACCAGUACAGAGUCAAUGUGGAGGCUAUAUACAGGGGGUACCGGUACAGAGUCAAUGUGGAGGCUAUAUACAGGGGGUACCGGUACAGAGUCAAUGUGGAGGCUAUAUACAGGGGGUACCAGUACAGAGUCAAUGUGGAGGCUAUAUACAGGGGGUACCGGUACAGAGUCAAUGUGGAGGCUAUAUACAGGGGGUACCAGUACAGAGUCAAUGUGGAG
rnacentral:lncRNA from 1 species